rnacentral:tRNA from 2 species
GGCCCCGUGGUCAAGCGGUCAAGACAUCGCCCUUUCACGGCGGUAACACGAGUUCGAUUCUCGUCGGGGUCACCA